rnacentral:rRNA from 1 species
GUGAGGAAUUUUCCGCAAUGGGCGAAAGCCUGACGGAGCAAUGCCGCGUGAAGGAUGAAGGCCUAUGGGUUGUAAACUUCUUUUCUCAGAAAAGAAUUAUGACGGUAUCUGAGGAAUAAGCAUCGGCUAACUCUGUGCCAGCAGCCGCGGUAAGACAGAGGAUGCAAGCGUUAUCCGGAAUGAUUGGGCGUAAAGCGUCUGUAGGUUGUUUAAAAAGUAUUCUGUCAAAGAUUAGGGCUUAACCCUAGAUAGGCAGAAUAAACUUUUAAGCUAGAGUUUGGUAGAGGCAGAGGGAAUUCCCGGUGGAGCGAUGAAAUGCGUAGAUAUCGGGAGGAACACCAAAGGCGAAGGCACUCUGCUGGGCCAAUACUAACACUGAGAGACGAAAGCGAGGGGAGCAAAUGGGAUUAGAAACCCGUGUAGUCC